rnacentral:rRNA from 1 species
GAUGAACGCUGGCGGCGUGCCUAAUACAUGCAAGUCGAGCGAACAGAUGAGGAGCUUGCUCCUCUGACGUUAGCGGCGGACGGGUGAGUAACACGUGGAUAACCUACCUAUAAGACUGGGAUAACUUCGGGAAACCGGAGCUAAUACCGGAUAAUAUAUUGAACCGCAUGGUUCAAUAGUGAAAGACGGUUUUGCUGUCACUUAUAGAUGUAUCCGCGCCGCAUUAGCUAGUUGGUAAGGUAACGGCUUACCAAGGCAACGAUGCGUAGCCGACCUGAGAGGGUGAUCGGCCACACUGGAACUGAGACACGGUCCAGACUCCUACGGGAGGCAGCAGUAGGGAAUCUUCCGCAAUGGGCGAAAGCCUGACGGAGCAACGCCGCGGGAGUGAUGAAGGUCUUCGGAUCGUAAAACUCUGCUAUUAGGGAAGAACAAAUGUGUAAGUAAAUAUGCACGUCUUGACGGUACCUAAUCAGAAAGCCACGGCUAACUACGUG